CAGCGCGUAGCUAAAAUAGUAUGGCAUCUCCCUUACACCGAGAAGGUGCUCGUGCAAAUCGAGCCGCACUGA
rnacentral:tRNA from 1 species